rnacentral:rRNA from 1 species
AUUGAACGCUGGCGGAAUGCUUUACACAUGCAAGUCGAACGGUAGAGGGGGCAACCCCUCGAGAGUGGCGAACGGGUGAGUAAUAUAUCGGAACGUGCCCAGUCGUGGGGGAUAACGUAGCGAAAGUUACGCUAAUACCGCAUACGAUCUACGGAUGAAAGCGGGGGAUCGCAAGACCUCGCGCGAUUGGAGCGGCCGAUAUCAGAUUAGGUGGUUGGUGGGGUAAAGGCUCACCAAGCCAACGAUCUGUAGCUGGUCUGAGAGGACGACCAGCCACACUGGAACUGAGACACGGUCCAGACUCCUACGGGAGGCAGCAGUGGGGAAUUUUGGACAAUGGACGCAAGUCUGAUCCAGCCAUUCCGCGUGCAGGAUGAAGGCCCUCGGGUUGUAAACUGCUUUUGUACGGAACGAAAAGGUUUCCAUUAAUACUGGGAGCUCAUGACGGUACCGUAAGAAUAAGCAUCGGCCAACUACGUGCCAGCAGCCGCCGUAA